GGACCUGCUCUGAAUAUGUUUAUUGAGGGGAAAGGGCUGUCUUGGGCUUACCUUUGCGUAAGCAUGAAAAGCUGGAUGAUUAGUGUGAUAUUCUUACUGGGAACUAUUUCUCUUUGCUUUUUGCUGUAGUAAGCAUUCCGUUCCCCAGUAGCGGAUGCAAGGGAGAUAGGCACAAAGGGCUGGACCUUCCUCACAAUGCAUUAGAUGUCCUACAACUAUGGUAAGGCAGUGAGUGAAUAACUCUGGGUAGCUGUUUCUUUAGAUCAUGUGAGUUCCUGCCAGAGAGGAAAACACAAACACUACUCCCCAGAAACAGCAAAUAGCCGUUGAGAAGUGCUAGGAAUCAGGUUUUUCCAUACCUGUUGUGGCUGCCACCAUUUUUCAUCUUGUUUUUCACUCCUCCAUCUGCCAGGAAUGAGGAGAUCAGCAGGAGGAGAUCAGCUGAAGGAGAUGGAGAAAGGUGGAGCCAGCAUCCAAAAUGGGGAAGAUACUCCUCUGCUUAUUUGAAAUGUUACUCAUAUGCUCUCUGAACUACAAACUGGUAAGAGAUGCCAGGUUAACAGCCUGUAAGACUGAAAUUUGUGUUUAUCCAAAGACAACAGCAAGAACAGAAGCUAUGUGGUUUCAUAUGUAUCUGGCUUUGACCUUCAAUGUUUUUUCCAGCAGAAUGGCUACUUUGCUAGAAAACAUUGUUCCAAGACAACAAAAGCCCUUCAAAAACCUGGAUCAAAUACAGCAAAUAAUUUUGGCCAGAAGAAUAGAUGAAAAUGCAGAAAAGUUGAAAUAUUGAAUGUUGGUAUUUCUGAACUACUACAGUUUGCUUUUCCCUUUGACCAAAGAAGUUAAAUAAGUUUGAUAUAAAAAAAGUCAUAUAACAGGAAUAAAAUCUUAGAAGAAGCAUGCGGUUGGACUAGCAAAUUUGGAUUACUUCAGUGCUCAACAAAAGAGGCCAUCAGCCUCAUCAGAGCUAACCCAAAAAGACAACAACUUCACAAGGUGACCCAAAGUUCAUGUGCUCAUCCUGUAAAAGUCUCUCUGCCUUCACUGAUUGUUCAGAAGGCUUUUGUAGACAGGCCAACUAAAUUAGACAUCUCUCUCAGCUACCUGAAAUUCAGUGGUUUGACCUUUCAAAACAUGUCACUCUGCUUGAAUUAAACAUUGCAGGUAGAGCUGAAAAGGAAAAUUUGUUUCACCAAUCUGAGAUGCAUUUAUAUCUCGCUGCAAUGCUGACUUGAAUGGCAUACUCAUGGGUGAUAUCAGCAAUGAAAAUUUGACCAUGAGACAAUUUCCAUGAUUGCACAGAGUUGCUCUGAACCAGGACUACACAUUCACAACUUGCAAAGAAGUUGAGCUUGAUUUCCACUUUUCCUUUCUUCAGUCACCAGGAUGGUUUCCACGCAUGGUGUCAGGGCCAUGUAAGUAAAGUGAACGCACAGAGGCACCAACUAUGUUACGCUUUUUGCCUAUAUUAUUACUAAAGCUGAAGCUAAGAUACUCUUACAUUUUCCUUAUCCUUCUCCAACACUGAUUUUACCAUUUUCUCUCUUCAUCUUGAGACAUGUCCCUGUAAAGGAGGCUCAAGACCCACCAUCCUGAAGGGUCUCCUUCCCAGACAUUCACUGUUAGACUGGAGCUGUAAAAUGAAAGGAGCUACCUCGGUUCUGCCUUACUCACUGGGAAGUACAAAGCCUUCCUUCUGCUUGCCACACUACCGGAAAUUCCCAUGUAUAAACUCUUGCUUCUAUGAGAGACAACCUGAAGAAGGACAAAUUGUUUGGAAGUUCUUUUUCAGUCUGUGAGAUCUAGGCUUUGUACCCAGUUUCCUGUUUCACCCUUCUCUUCAUUUUUCCUGCCUUUGUGGCACUGGAACUGUACAACCUCUCUCAAGCCUUUAGGGCCUGAACAGUUCUGCCUGAUCUCAAAUGAAUUUUCAAAAUAUAAGAUCCAACCAUGUAAAGGAUUGGAGAAAAAUAUUCUAAAUCUUUUUGUUUAACCAGGCACCAAUCACUGUGUUAUCUGAGCUCCUCACAAGUAAGACAUGUCUUACAGAACAUUUAUUGCAUUUUAUCUCGGGGAUAUUGUUUGCCUAUCAGCCUUUAUCUCAGGAUUUCGCAAAAUACCUAAAAGCAUUUUAAUCAAAGGACAGAGAACAAGGUGAGCAGUAAUUACAGCUAUUCAAACAUCAUGACACUUUUUACAAUUGUGGAAUAACAAAGUUAACUCACAAGAUAGUCCACACCUAUGAAAAGAUUCAUGAAGAAAAAGGACUCAAUCUUUUCUUCUUGCAGAAAGGUUUCAGUUAAUUGCUGAGAGCUGACCGUCACAGAGAGUCAAUUCUGUGCUGGCAAAUACACCUAAAGCCUUCCUGACAUUAAAACAAAAAAAGCCCAACCUGAUAUUAAAGCAACAGACAUACUUGCAAGGGAAGUUGGACGUGUUUCUGUCAAUCUAAUCCACCACAGUAGGAUGACAGAACACCACACCAUUUUCAGUUCUGUUCCAGCUCCACACAGAGGACCCUAACUCCACUUCUGGCUCUGUGCCUCAACUUGAAAACUGAGAUAAUCGUGCUCAUUUGACUCACGUGGAUGCUGUAAAGAUGCUUUGUAAAUCACUUUCAGAAACUUGACAGAAGGCCCUUCUGAGUUUUAAUUGAUCAGCAUUUUUUCAGAUAGCAAGACAACAAUGAUGCAAAAGCAGCAGAAAAUGUUAUGUCUGGAUUAAAAUUAAAUAGGAUGUAGAUCGCUUGGAUGAGCCCUCCUGGGGGUGGUGUUGCAGAAAUAUUUCCACUUCCAGGGAAUAUGCUGUACUAGUAGUGUGCAAAAUUUCACACCAUACUCAAACACUGACCCUUUCUGUCUCUCUCAAAGUUGCACCCUGAGGGGCCAGAAGUCUAAGUUUUUUUUCAAGUAAUUAUACAUAAUUACACAGUGAUGCAAAGUGCCAUAAAAUGAAAGAGAGAAGACAUUUGCCAAGAAGGGCUUCUAUAAUCCUCGUCAUGAUGUACAUGGAAUGUACUCCAUCUCCUUCUAAUUUUACAUUAUGCAUUGCAGUCAUAUUGUAGGUGAAAUACUCUUUUGAAGUAUGAAUUAAUUAGCCCAUCUUUAUUUCCAAACAGAGGUCAUAUAGUUAAUUAUUAAACAGUUGAAGGAGUCAGACAGGUCCUUUCUUACCAUGUUCUGCUCCAUAAGCUUCAUAGUGCAAUCUCUUCCAGGGAAGGUACAAGGACUGAUGUUAAAGGGAAUAAAUAGAAAUAUCCUUGCUCUCCAAAAAUUAUAAUCUCCAUUUUGUAGCUGUGAGCCAGAGAUGUCUACAUAGAGCAAGGUCUGAUUUUGUAGGGUGUCUGAAACUGCCCAUCUUUUUAAAUGGGGGCAACUCCUAUUGAUGCUUUACAUGGGAGCAUUGCUGAACUCUGCAAAGCAAUCGCAAAGGAAGGAAAGCAUCACCAUGCAAAGGAGAUGCAUUAUUAUUCUGUAGGCUUGGCUACUCAUGGAAGUAAGAAGGAUAAAUAAGGAGAUUAAUUUAUGUAUCCUGAACUACCUCACAUUAGCUACGCUGUCACAUUUUUUUAUUCAUGGUAAAUGCAAGGUAAUCUUUCCCUGCUUAUAAAUUUAUAAAUGCACACUGCGUGAUAAUGUAUGGCAUCUUGCUUGUAAUGAUUCCCCAAAUGUCUGUUCCUUAGAGGAAUCCUUUCACCCUACAUGGUAAGCUGCUGGAGGCCCUGAUUCUUUCAAGGGAUUCUUCCAUAUCCUAAAGACACACACAUUUCACUAUUUUGGAAAAAAACAACCCACUACAGGCAGAAAAUUUAUGUCUUGUGCAGAAAAUAAAAGAAACAAAAAAGGACAGAUCAACAACUGAUUCACAAUUUAUGACUUGUUAAGCAUUUUGCUUCAUAACCACAAUCUGUUUACAUGAACUGCUUUAGUGUAAGAGUCAAAAAGUUAAUUGCUCAGUUGCAGGAAUCUUAGAUAAAAGUUUGUUCAGUAACUAUAAUUCACUACAGCCUACCAGAAGUCUGCAAGUAAAUAACUUUGCACCAAAGUCCUUCUACUGCCCUCUGAUGACUCACAAGUAACAGAAGCUUUCUGAAGCAAAAGAAGAGAUUGUCUUAUGAGAGGGUGUGAUUUAUUCCAAUCAAAGCUCCUGACUAGUGUCACUUCUGUUCUGUUUGAUAUCUGUGAGAGUCCAUUUCAAGAACAUCAUAUAAGCUUGGGCAAAAGUUUUCAAAAAACAAUGCCUUGCCUCUCAGCUCCCCACUCAUUUUCACCAGUGAUAUACCUUAAAUGCCACAGCCAUAUUGCGAACAACAUACGUUUUUCUGUACUUAGCAGAAGAUCAGGAACCUUUAAGAUAAUGUCCAGAAGUGCUUGCAUUAUAUCCUUCCUUAUGUGUCCCAUAAACUGAAAUGUCAUCUCCAUAAACUUCCACUCCCCUUAGGCCCUCUGGGCAGCAUCAUUUCCCUUCUGUACAGGGGUCUGCAUAAGCAGUAACUCCCAACCAGCCCUGUGCAAUUCGUCACCUGCUAUCACCAAGCUGGGCAAGAACUUUGGACAAGCUGUGGGCUGCACCCCACUGGGGCUAUAUUGACACAUCAGGUAGGACGCAGAUGGAGCCCAAGAACCAAGCAAGCAGUCUUGAGGCUCGGUUUAUUUCCUUCCCUGUUGCCUGGUUAGGCACAUUUUGCUUCUUACCCAACAAUAGGAUUGUGUGGAGACCUAUGAGAUUGUGCACAGGGUGGGUUUCCAUCUUCCACAGCAACCUCCAUGAAUCAUGUGCUUCUUACAAAGCCAAGACCCAAGGAUUUCCCUGUACACUGACAGAGCUGGCCUCGGAUUACCAGGUUACAAAGACAUCACUCAUAUCCUCUUUGCUUUUGUAGCAUGUGUAGGCUCUGAAUGGAUCUAGACAACUGAUUUGUCACCUUGAGCCAGUGCACUUUUGUGCCUUUACAAAUCCCAGUCACCUCUGCCCUGGAAUCAAUGUGAAAUUUAACAACUGUAUUGCAGACCUUAAAAAUAACAGUCUAGACUUGUUCAUGAAUGCCUGCUUUGGACAUUGAACUCAGAAAAUAGGUAACUCUCACUUGUAUUUGCCCUUUCUCCCUGGCUCCUUUGCUUUGACAGACACAUUCCCAGUAUCCUAUUAUCUUACAUGUUUGUACUACAGUAAGUGGGCAUAACUGAUUUACCUUUUCUUCUGCAUUCAUGGCUUUCUGUACUUCUGUCCGGCCCCUUCUUAUUCAUCUUUUCUUCUGAACUGAACAAAGAAGUUUGUUGGAAAAAGAAGAACAAGAUUAACACUGAAAACUACCGUGAAUCUAUCUUCCCUUUACUGCACAGCCUCUGCCUAAAGCCUCUGGUUUCUAUCUCACAUUUAAAGAAACAGCAACUUCCUAACCAGGGCAUUUUCCUUUUUCUUCCCCAGCACAAGCUUUGUCUGAGCACAGACCCAGAUGCCUUUCCAGAACCUUCAUCUUCAGUGAUGUCCCAUACCAGCCCUGUCCUGGUAUAACAGACUUGGGCCAAGUGGAACAGCAAACAGCACAGCAAAGUUGUUCCAGAGAAGUAGUCAGUAUACACCUUCAUCUUUUUAGCAUACUUUAGCAACAGAAAGUUAGGAAAAACAUCAGGACCAAGUCACCAGCAGGGUCUGACAUCCAUGAAUGUGUCCCACUCAAAUCAUAAGCUGAUUAUGAGAUCACAACUUCAGCAGCCAUAUGUCAUUGAAGGACCCUCACUGCGCAUGUGGUUUCCUUAUUGAAAUAAAAAGAUAUAUUUUCCUUUGACUUCUCUAAAGAAGCAAAAUUACCUAGCAGGAAGCAAGGAGGGUGAAGAGAUAAAGACGAUUAUAAUCACAGAAUUAGGAGCAGCACAGAAGUCUCCAAGAGGAUCUGUACUUGGGAAAAAAUUACUCAGUAAACAUCCGGACCUCUGUUAACCCAAGAAAGGACUCAUUAGGUACAAACGGACCGUCACUGACUACCAUUUGUUUGUUCUCCAAUUUUAUUUAUUUCUUCUAACUCAGAGAAAUAAAUCUCAUUUUGACCCUAAUGCAUGACUCACUCUUCUCAAAAAAGCAGGUUAUUAGCAGCAGCUUCCUCAGCUGAGAAGUAUCAAGCAUCUUUCUCUAUCUCUCACCUCUCUUGUAGCAAUAACUACUUGGUGUGGUGAUGAUAAGAGAAGCUCCAUUCAAGAGUUCAAAUGCUCCCAAUGAAACUAAAAAUUAGUGCCAAGAACAGCCCCAACAAAUUGAAGAGCGGAUGUCAAAAAGUCCCCCUCGAAUUGUGUGAAGGGGUAGGAAAAAGGCAGAGGAAAUGAGAGAUAGGAGGAAGACCUGCUUUUUCUGUGCAAUUUCACAGAAUGAUUCCAAUAAACCUAAAGCUUUCUUUUUUUGAUAGUAAAUAGACAGUUACUUCAAUGAAGCCCAUCCCCUGCAGCCCCAGGAUUCAUUCCUUUUUUGGAAAAAAAAAAAAAAAAGUUACCUCU